rnacentral:tRNA from 1 species
GAAGGUAUAGCGCAGUGGUGGAGCACGUGCUUAGCAUGCAGGGGGUCCUGGGUUCAAUACCCAGCACCUCCA